rnacentral:rRNA from 1 species
AGAACGAACGCUGGCGGCAGGCUUAACACAUGCAAGUCGAGCGCGUGUAGCAAUACACGAGCGGCGCACGGGUGAGUAACGCGUGGAUAUCUGCCUUUUGGUUCGGAAUAACCCCGGGAAACUGGGGCUAAUACCGGAUGGUUCCUACGGGAUAAAGAUUUAUCGCCAAAAGAUGAGUCCGCGUCCGAUUAGCUAGUUGGUGAGGUAACGGCUCACCAAGGCGACGAUCGGUAGCUGGUCUGAGAGGACGAUCAGCCACACUGGGACUGAGACACGGCCCAGACUCCUACGGGAGGCAGCAGUGGGGAAUAUUGGACAAUGGGGGCAACCCUGAUCCAGCCAUGCCGCGUGAGUGAUGAAGGCCUUCGGGUUGUAAAGCUCUUUUGGCGGGGACGAUGAUGACGGUACCCGCAGAAUAAGCCCCGGCUAACUUCGCGCCAGCAGCCGC